rnacentral:rRNA from 1 species
CGCUAUCACUCCUACGANAGGCAGCAGUGGGAUAUUGCACAAUGGGGGAAACCUGAUGCAGCCAUGCCGCGUGUNUGAAGAGGCCUUCGGGUUGUAAAGCACUUUCAGUAGGGAGGAAGGUAGUGUAGUUAACACCUGCAUUAUUUGACGUUACCUACAGAAGAAGCACCGGGCUAACUCCGUGCCAGCAGCCGCGGUAAUACGGAGGGUGCGAGCGUUAAUCGGAAUUACUGGGCGUAAAGCGCAUGCAGGCGGCCUGUUAAGUCAGAUGUGAAAGCCCGGGGCUUAACCUCGGAAUUGCAUUUGAAACUGGCAGGCUAGAGUCUUGUAGAGGGGGUAGAAUUUCAGGUGUAGCGGUGAAAUGCGUAGAGAUCUGAAGGAAUACCAGUGGCGAAGGCGGCCCCUGGACAAAGACUGACGCUCAGAUGCGAAAGCGUGGGGAGCAAACAGGAUUAGAUACCCUGGUAG